rnacentral:rRNA from 1 species
GAACGCUGGCGGCGUGCUUAACACAUGCAAGUCGAGCGGAAAGGCCCUUCGGGGUACUCGAGCGGCGAACGGGUGAGUAACACGUGAGCAACCUGCCCUAGGCUUUGGGAUAACCCCGGGAAACCGGGGCUAAUACCGAAUAGGACCNGGCNUCGCAUGAGGCUUGGUGGAAAGUUUUUCGGCCUGGGAUGGGCUCGCGGCCUAUCAGCUUGUUGGUGGGGUGAUGGCCUACCAAGGCGACGACGGGUAGCCGGCCUGAGAGGGCGACCGGCCACACUGGGACUGAGACACGGCCCAGACUCCUACGGGAGGCAGCAGUGGGGAAUAUUGCACAAUGGGCGGAAGCCUGAUGCAGCGACGCCGCGUGAGGGAUGACGGCCUUCGGGUUGUAAACCUCUUUCAGCAGGGACGAAGCGUAAGUGACGGUACCUGCAGAAGAAGCGCCGGCCAACUACGUGCCAGCAGCCGCGGUAAGACGUAGGGCGCGAGCGUUGUCCGGAUUUAUUGGGCGUAAAGAGCUCGUAGGCGGC